GAUGAACGCUAGCGGGAGGCCUAACACAUGCAAGUCGAGCGGGAAUGGUAGCAAUACCAUGAGAGCGGCGCACGGGUGAGUAAUGCAUAUGCAACCUGCCCUUUACAGGGGGAUAGCCCGGUGAAAACCGGAUUAAUACCCCAUGGUCCUGUAUUUUCGCAUGGAGAUACAGGUAAAGCUGAGGCGGUAAAGGAUGGGCAUAUGUGACAUUAGGUAGUUGGGGGGGGUAACGGCCCACCAAGCCUAUGAUGUCUAGGGGUUCUGAGAGGAUGAUCCCCCAACUGGUACUGAGACACGGACCAGACUCCUACGGGAGGCAGCAGUGAGGAAUAUUGGUCAAUGGGCGGAAGCCUGAACCAGCCAUGCCGCGUGAAGGAAGACGGCCUUAUGGGUUGUAAACUUCUUUACUACGCGAAUAGAGGUUAGUACGAGAUACUAAUAGGAAGGUAGUGUAGUAAAAGCACCGGCUAACUCCGUG
rnacentral:rRNA from 1 species